GACGAACGCUGGCGGCGCGCUUAACACAUGCCAGUCGAACGGAAAGGCCUGCUUUCCCUUGUGGAUUGCGGGUACUCGAGUGGCGAACGGGUGAGUAACACGUGAGUGAUCUGCCCCCAACUUGGGUAUAAGCCUGGGAAACUGGGUCUAAUUCCCGAUAGGACUGCAGGGUGGUGCCUGUGGUGGAAAACGAUUUUCUAGUGGUUGGGGAUGAGCUCGCGGCCUAUCAGCUUGUUGGUGGGGUAAUGGCCUACCAAGGCGGCGACGGGUAGCCGGCCUGAGAGGGUGGACGGCCACAUUGGGACUGAGAUACGGCCCAGACUCCUACGGGAGGCAGCAGUGGGGAAUAUUGCACAAUGGGCGGAAGCCUGAUGCAGCGACGCCGCGUGGGGGAUGACGGCCUUCGGGUGGUAAACCCCUUUCGACCGCGAGGAAGCCACCUGGUUGGAAGGGUGGUGACGGUAGUGGUAGAAGAAGCACCGGCUAACUACGUG
rnacentral:rRNA from 1 species